UACGGGGGGAGCAAGCGUUGUUCGGAAUUACUGGGCGUAAAGCGCGUGUAGGCGGCUCGGCAAGUCGGAUGUGAAAGCCCAGGGCUCAACCCUGGAAGUGCACUCGAAACUGCCAAGCUGGAGUCCCGGAGAGGAAGGCGGAAUUCUCGGUGUAGAGGUGAAAUUCGUAGAUAUCGAGAGGAACACCUGUGGCGAAGGCGGCCUUCUGGACGGUGACUGACGCUGAGACGCGAAAGCGUGGGGAGCAAACAGG
rnacentral:rRNA from 1 species